GAGGAAGAGUUGCGCAGCGCCACUUCAGUGAAGUGGGAGGAGAAAUGGAAGGGGCUCUUUUCCUCCUCCCGCUUCACUGAAGGGGUGCUACGCAGCUCUCCCUC